rnacentral:rRNA from 1 species
UACGUAGGGACCAAGCGUUGUUCGGAUUUACUGGGCGUAAAGGGCGCGUAGGCGCUUAACAAGUCACUUGUGAAAUCUCCGGGCUUAACUCGGAACGGCCAAGUGAAACUGUCAAGCUAGAGUGCAGAAGGGGCAAUCGGAAUUCUUGGUGUAGCGGUGAAAUGCGUAGAUAUCAAGAGGAACACCUGAGGUGAAGACGGGUUGCUGGGCUGACACUGACGCUGAGGCGCGAAAGCGUGGGGAGCAAACAGG